rnacentral:rRNA from 1 species
AUGCCCCUUGGGCCUUCAAUAGAGAUAAGUUGUUUUCAUAACAACCUUAAUCUUGAGGAUGCACUUAAGAGGGGAAAACAUGAAGAUAUUGAUGGAGUAGAAUUGUGUAAUGAGUUAAUUUUUCUCCAGGAAUUACUGGAGAAAUCUAUGGGUCAUCUAGAUAUUCUGAAGUAUUUGGAGAAACGCCCCUUUUAUAUGUAUGCUAAUAUUGCAUAUAGAAUUUUUUUAACCAUUUCGGUUACUAUUGCAUCUGCAAAAAGGAGUUUUCCUAAACUCAAGUUAUUGAAAUCCUACUUGCGUUCUACUAUGACACAAUAAAUACUUAGUGUAUUUGUGACAAUAGCACUUGAGAAUGGUGUCCUGGAGAAGAUUAAUUAUAAAGAUAUGAUUGAUGAUUUCAUUUCAAGAAAUACCAGACGGAUGAUGCUUUUCAGUGGGACAUGA